AAGUCGAAAAUUACGAACCAUGGUUUAAAACUCAAAGAAUUUGGCGGUGUCUUAUCAAACCAGGGGAAUCUGUCUCAUAACUCGAUAAUCCACGACCCCCUUACCCUCCCUAGAAACUCAGCCUGUGUACUGCCGUCGCCAGCACACCUCUAAAAGAGAAAAGUGUGCAAUAAUGAAUUCUCAAUUACGUCAGGUCAAAGUGCAGCUAAUGAGAUGGUGAUGAUGGAUUACAACCUAAACAAAGACACAAAUUACAAUACUAAAUGUUGUAUGAAGGUGGACUUGAGCGUAAUAAAGAUUAAAUACCAAAAUGAAAAUGAAUUUAAGACAUGCACACAUCGCCCGUCACUCUAGCCUAAAGGUU
rnacentral:rRNA from 1 species